GAUUAUUGCUGCCUGAGAGCAUUGCUUAAAGAAGUAUAUGUUAUCAUCUCUUAACCUGCUCAGACACCUUGGAACUUAUUCUAUGUCUCAUUUUCACGUACUUGCACUAGAUGUUUUCUUCCAUCCCAAUAUGAAAAAUAGAGAAAGGAAGAAAUAACUGCCCACAAAUGAAGUGCAAAGGUAGACUGAUUUUUUUUUUUUCCCCCUCAUAUAAGUCUUAGUGCUACAGAGCAUAAAGAAAAGGCUGAGGCAGCUCUGUGAAAAAGAAUACAAACAGAACUACUCAGGAGCGGAGAAAUGGUGGAUCUUCAAAAUCCUAUCUCUCCAUGAAACAGCAAGCCCCUCUACAUAGAAGCGUCUUAAUGCUCUAAGGAUGUGAAAGUACUGCUGGGAAGCUGCUGAAGCCAGCAGUCAGAUGAGGCCUGGGCAGAUGGAGGCUGAGCUCUGGGAUCAGCCUGUGUUUCCAACCUGAGCAAUUCUAUGAUUCUAAAUUCAACACAAGGCACUGAGCGUGCUGACUUCCUCAGUAAUUAAAAGGUGUGAGCUGAAGUUACGUUUGCAGCAUGUGGCUAAGCAGCUGAGAAGUCUGCAGAUAUAAACAAGAACUGAGAAGUGUAUUUGUCCCCUGGUGAGAGCUCAGAGCUGCCUGGUACAGAAAUAUCACCUGGGAGGCCCUGCAUAGCACGGAAUAUAUAGAGGAUAUAUUUUUUUUCUGUUCACUGCUAAAGUACAACUACCAAUAUUUAUCUUUUUUCUAUAGGUUUAUAUUCACUGCUCUAAUAUGGCUACAAAUAUCUGUGUCUUUUCUAUGGCUCCAAACAGCUCUAAAUUUAAGCUUUUGGUAACUAUAAGCUCUCCCUCUGGGAUGCAUUCCUUAUGUGGAGCAUGGAGAGGCAGAAGAGGCGAUUCAAGCCAUUGCUAAGCUUCCCCUUGGCUGAAGGCAAUCCACCAGCUGCCCCACCAGCACUACAGGGCUGGCAGUGCCUCCUGCCUGCAGGCUACAGAGAUGCCAACACUGUAAUGUUGAAGGCAUUGGAAAAAAACAGAUGUGCCCCAUAUGGCAGGUUAAUGGAAAAAUGUCACACUGCCAAUGCAAGAUCUGACAGCGUUGGCAUGAAUGAAGAUGUCUGUAAAAACAAGUAG
ensembl:lncRNA